rnacentral:lncRNA from 1 species
UUGCGUAAUCAAGUGCUCAAUUUAUUGUCGAAUUCGGUGCACUCUUUCCAACGAUUAGAUAGAUCGGAACGAAGAAAUCAGGAAAGGAAGAUGUUCACACUUCACAGUUCAUACUUCAUAGCCCAGAAGACGGAGAACUUUAACUUGGAGAUAUUGAUUAUGAUGAAGAUGAAAUGAUGAACUGAUGAAGUGAUGCAAAACAUUUGAAAUUACUACUUCACUAUAAAAAAUGUAAAC